rnacentral:lncRNA from 10 species
GGCGGACAGACUUAGACCACACAAACUCAGUUCAGUGUGAUGUCAUGACAGGUUGUGAUGGGGACAUGAAGAAUCUGCAUGUGCCCCUGUACAGUACAUUGGUAAACAUGUCCCUGAAAACGUGACACUUAAGGUGAGCUUUGUAGAAUAAAUAGGAAAUAGCGAGGCAGAGACAGCAAAGUAAGGCAUUGCAGGAGCAGAAAAAUAAAUGCAAAAGACAAAGACUGGAAAACAAAAAAAGGUUGGGAAUUAAUUGCAGCUAAGACAACAUGACCAUAACACACUACUCAAGGAAGAGAAUGAUCAAGAAUAAAGCUGCAGUCAGGCAGUAAAAUACAGCUGUCAGAUUACCCACUUAAGUGAUAAACACUGCAUGACUCCUACACCACUUAAAAUGAGUUUUAACACACGCUCUGCAGCAAAAAUUCUUGAGACUUACAAUCACUGGCCAAUUAGUAUUUAUCAAGGACAGUGAAUGUAAAUAGAAACACAGCCAAAUACCUUUUCACUGUGUACAAAAUAGACGGUGACAACAUGCAACUACUAAUUUCCAGGACGCGCUGAAACAGAUCCAAUGUUAAGAUAAAAAUAAACUAAAAUGAUUUUCCUCUGGUUUGAUUUAGGUAGAUAAUCAAGGCCAUAACAUGCCGAUGUGGAAAAAUGUCCCAACCAUCCCCAGGAAUGAAGAAAACUAAUAGGCAACAAAAUUGUUAAAAAAAAAAAAAAAAAAACCAGCUCUUCUUAGGACAUUCUUUGCUUUCUUUUGGUCUUCCUCUUUCUAUUUAAGCCCUGUAUUGUUGCCCAAUACACCCUAUUUAGGUCUCAUUUUCUUAUCUAUGUCCCACAUACUGAGCCUUUCAGUUUCCUUUUUCUCUUUACUUUAAAAAGCUAUGUCCAAGUGUCAUGCUCUUGAUUGAAGGCAGAAAGACAACAUAAUAAAAGUAACCACUGCUAUUGGGCAACCUCUUCAUUGUGCUGCUCUUCACGGUAAAACAGGCAUCUUAUUGACUCCAGGAGACACUCCAAAAGAUUGCAUCAACCCAAAGGAGAUUUAGGCCUUAGGACAGGACCAAGUGGGAGAGCAAUUUUUGUGGAAGGUGGCCUUGUGAUAUCCCUCAUAUACAACUUUCUUGCUCUCAGCCAAGCCAGCAGGCAAGCCAUAAAGCCAUAGGUGGUAACCAGUCUAGGUUAAGAUAAACUCUCACAGCUUCAAAGAGGAGGAGAGAGAGAAGAGAAGAAAAGCAGUGACUUUAAUUAGGAUAAUUUGUUCUCCAAAGUAUAAACUCUUAUCAGGGCAUAUCACAGCUCUCCUACAUACCACUGCUGGAUUUUUGUUAGCAUAAGAUGAAACAACAAGGGCUUAUGAAUUAUUCUGAGCCAGUGACACAGAAAAUAAGCAGAAAUAGAUGCUGCGGUGUAUUAAAUUGUUAUUUGGGAUAGAGCUGGACAAAGAGGAAUAUGACUUACAAUUAGUGACUACAAAUAUUUUAAAACAUUAAAAGAAAUAGAAUUUUACCCAAAGACGUUUGUUUUCGCUGGGAAGCCUGCCUUUUGCUAAUCAUAUUUACAAAUGUAUAGUGCUAAUCUAAUAUAUGGAUAUCUUGCUUUACAACUCAUGUACUGACAAUUUUAUUGCAUUUACCCAAAUUUCCUUCAAUGCUACAUUUGUAACUCUCUAAAUACUUCAUAUAUAGUGCUAAAGAUCUUGAUAUAACUUUAUGCUCACAAAUACACAAUUUAAAAGUUUAUGUUAUACUAUGGAAUACUGAAACUCCUUGUCACUUAUUUUAUUAACUUAAUAAUGUAAUAAAAACCACAUAUCAUUUAACUGCUUAUAAUGAGCAUAUUUGAAGCUGCAAAGUGAUAUUGCAAAUGGAGAAAAAUAAGCAGCUAAAAAUUCCAGUGCAUAUACUGUCACGUGCCAAAUAACAAUGUUUCUGUCAGCUAUGGACCACAUACACAAUCAUGUUCCCAUAUGUUUAUAAUGGGGCUGAAAAAUUCCCAUUCCUUAGUGACUGAUAGCCAUUGUAAUGUCAUAGCACAAUGCAUAACUGAAAUGCUCGUGGAGAUGUUCGUGCAGGCAAACCUACUGUGCUGCCAGUCAUAUAAAAAGCAUAGUACAUACAAUUACCUACGGUAUAUAAAACUCGAUAGUGAUAAUAAAGUACUAUUUUAUUGGUUUAUGUAUUUACUAUAUUAUGCCUUUUAUUGUUAUUUUAGAGGGUACUAGUUUUACUUAUAAAAAUAAGUUAACCGUAAAACAGCCUCAGGCAGUUUCAUCAGAAGGUAUUCCAGAAGAAGGCAUUGUAUUCAUAGGCGAGGACUGUUCCAUGCUUGUUAUUGUCCCUAAAGAUCUUCCAGUGAGAAAUGUGGCAGUGGAAGACAGUGAAACUGAAGAUCCUGACCUUGUGUAGGUCCAUGCUAAGGUCAUAACACCCUCUUUCCAUAGAGGGUCCUGCCACACACCAAGGAGGAACGAAUGCUGCGCAGUGAGGCCAAGAGGAGUCUAGACAGACAGGCCUUGCUGGGUUUCCCAACUCUAUUGGCAGUAGAUCAUUCUCUUUUUGCCCAAUCGUAUUUGUACAUGGCUGUCCAUAUUUUGUCGACCCUAAGCAUUAAAAUGUACAAUUCCUCUGUAUCUUUGGAUCUUCAUUCUGAAGGCUCCUGUGUUAUGUAAAACUAUGAUCAAUUAAAUUUGUAUGCCUUUUCUGUUAUUAAUUUGACUCUUGUCAGUGACUUUUAACACAUCUUCAGAAGUUGAAGGUAAAGCUUUCC